CACAUAUUUCCACAUCUUUCUCUAUUACGUCUCUCUCUACGCUUUAGCUAUUGAUAGAUGAUUAUUCUAAACGAACGCGUCUUUGAGAUUUUCUGAAUCGAUCAUCAUCGUUCCUACUUCUGGGUUUUCACUUUUCAUUGAUGAUUGAUAUUUUCUAGGGUUUGGUUCCUAAAAUUGCAUCGGUGGAUUUACUUUUUCGCGCUGUUAAUUUUUAUAGAUUGUGGAUCGAUGCUUUGAUCAGUCGGUGCAGACCCGGCUCUAAGGGUGUGCCAGCGGUGCAAGAGCACAGGGUCCUUAAUUUUUUUUCCUUAUUUUUUUGUGUUUUAAAAAAAUCUAGAAGAAAUACAGAGUUACAUAGGGUCCUUUUUUUGUUUGGAGCACAGGGACCAAAAAAAUAUUGAGCCGGGCCUGAGUCGGUGAUGGAUGGUUUCGAUGGAUUGAUUAUUGCUUCUCUCUAUUACGUCUCGACGAGGGGUGUUCUUGCUCUGGUUUUUGUUUUUCGUAGCGAAUUAUAAUCCGAUGAUCAUCGCUUUUCGAUUUCUGAAAUCUCACCUUCUAGGGUUAUGUUUUUUUUUUGUAGAUUGUGUAUGAUUCUGUGAUCCGCCGUGAUAGGUUUUUUUUUUGUAUCUUUGUCACGCGUUUUCUCUUACGCUAAGUCUUUAAUCGAAUUUUGAUCACUAUGAUUCGUUCUCGCUUCUGUAUUUUUCACUUUUUCUAAUUCAUGUUAUUUAUUUCUCCUUCUCUUGUUGAUGAUUUAGAUUGUCGACUAUGAUCGAUUGGUGAUUGACGAGGAGGAGGGUACUAAAAUCGAUCGGUGGUGGUUCUAAUUUUUGAUCCGAACUUGUUUAUUCGCUUCUGAAUGUUCACUUUUCUGUUCAUGUUAUUUACUCCACGUAGUUCUAUUGUGUUGUUAAUCCAGAUUGUGGGGUGAUUGAGGAGGAUACUUAGAUCGAUCGGUGAUGGUUUGAUUGAACUUUGUCACGCGUUUUCUCUGUUGCUUUUUUUUUUUUUUGUCCUCCUUCCCCAAUUCUUAAUUUCUUAGCCUUUUGUUUUCCUCUUCUUCGUUUCUAGAUAAGCGACAUCUCUCUUCUUUUGUUUUCGUCUUUGAUGCAGAUCGUGGAGGCAGUGGGAUUGCUCUGUUGAAUCUAUUUUUCUCUCGUCUAUCAUAUCAUCUCUUUUGGUUUCUUCUGAUUUCUCUCGUGCUUUAUUUUCCCGAAUGACUUACUUGUUACAAUCACAAUUUCCUCUGUUUCUAUUCCGUCUCAGUUGAUGUGUUACUUCUUUGGCGGUUUUCUAUAUUUCCCCUUUGUUUCCUUUGCAGGGUUCUUAUAUUACUUUUGUUUUCCUUCUGAUUUUUUUGGGUGAAACUUUUUGGUUUAGAUCGACGUAGAGGUUGAAGGCAUUGUGAAGGGAAGGAUGGCUUGCGUUUAAUUUCGUGUUUCUGGUUACUUCGCAUCUAUAUCUGCUAUUGGUUGAUUUAUUUAAUUUUGGCUAUUUUUGUUUCUGUCCUCUGUGUGUCUUAAUGUGUUUUCCAGAUUUUCUACGUCAACGCCUCUCUGAUUCUCUGCCUGCCUACACACAUUCAUAUGAAAGAUGAUCUUAAAUUUCCCUACACACAUACACAUUCAUAUUCUUUGUACUUUUUUUGUAACUAGUUUUUGAAUGCUUAUAUAUGUCUUUUAGGCCUGCUAAGUCUGAGCUCUCUGAUCCAGAAGGUUUUGACAUGUGAUUUAUUGAGGUUUUCGUUCCUCUUUUCCCUUGGGUAUAUUUCUGUAAUCUGUUUGCUUUUUAUAUACGACCUUGAUUUUUGAAUUUUUGUUUCCUGAGUUAUAGACUGCGCCACUUGGGAGUCUUCAAGAUCAUUUGGAUUUGUUAUUGGAUGUUUCAGGUUUACAGUAGUGUCGCUGAUCUUCCUAGUGAUGCUGGCAUUUAUGUGUUAUGCUUAAGACCCUUUCUUUUGAUGUAGGUAGUGGAGGUUCUAAAAGAAAGAAACGUCAGGCUACUAACUGGUUUCGUUCCCUUGUCUUUUAUAUGUUUAGUGUUUGAUCAUACUCUCAUAUGCUUGUGACGAUGUUUAUUUUUUCUAAAUGUGAAAUGUUCCCUUCUUAAUAGGUGAAUAUUUUGAGCUUGAAAGAUGUCUUUGAUCUUGUGCUUCCCUAUUACCUCUCUGGCGGUUCCUUAUCCCCCUUUGUUUUUUUCUUAUGGUUUCUUAUUUCCCUAUUACUUGGAUGUUUUUCUUUUCUAAAUUUUGGAUAAUUUCGAUGUAGAUCGUAGAGGUCCAAGGUAUUGUGGGAGAUAAGGAUGUGUUGCAUAUAAUUUCGUAUUUCUGGUUCCUUCGCAUAUAUGCACACCUAUUUCCCUGUGGAUUGUUUAAUUAUAUUAUCGUUAUUGUUGGUGAGAUAUGAUUUUUCCUCUUGUUUCUGUGUUUCCCAGAUUUUCUUCACCAAUAACUUCACUCCAUUUCCGUAUUCACACACUCAGAUUAAAGAUGAUUAUAGAUCAUAGAUUCCUCCCAAACGAAUUUCUGGUUCCUUCGCAUAUAUACUCCUUUUUACAAUUGGUUGAUUUAAUUAAUUUUAGUUAUUUUUGUUUAGGUUUGAUCUGCCCUCUGUGUCUUAUUGUGUUUUUUCAGAUUUUCUACAUCAAUCGCUUAUCUGUUUCUCUGCUGUCUACACACAUUUAUAUAAAAGAUGAUCUUAAAUUCCCUUCCGAACGAGUUUGUUCAUAUAGAAGGCUGGACCUGCAUUAACACUAAUGUCGGUUUUAUCUUCCUAGUGAUAUUGGCAUUUAUGUUUUAUACCUAAGUGUCUGUCUUCUGUUAUAGGGAGUGACGUUCUAAAGGAGAAAAACGUCACGUUACUAACUGUUUCUUUUCCCCUUUAUUUAUGUUCGUAUUAUCUCUCAUUCUACAUAUAUGUUUUGUGUUUGAUCAUACUCUCCUAUGCUUUUGACGGUGUUUUUUAUGUGAAAUGCUCCGCUUCUUUAUAGGUAUAUUGAGCUUGAAAGAUGUCUUUCAUCUCGUUGUUCCCUGUUACCUAUCUGGCGGUUUUUAUCCCUCUUAUUUCCCAAUUACUUGAUGUUUUUUCUUUUCUUAUUUUUGGAGAAUUUUUGAUUUAGAUCGUAGAACUUCAAGUCAUUUUGAGAGAGAAGGAUGGCUGGCGUAUAAUGUCGUGUUUCUGGUUCUUUCACAUCUAUACACUUUUUUUACCUAUAGGUUGUUUUAUUUAAAACUGGGUAUUGUUCGUGAGGUAUGAUUUUCCCCCUGUGCCUGUGUUUCCCAGAUUUCCUUCACAACUCACUUUAUUCUAUGUCCGUAUACACACUUAGAUUAAAGAUGAUCAUAGAGUCCUCCCAAACGAGUUUCUGGUUACUUAUUAUAUAUACACUUUUCUGCUACUGGUUGAUUUUUUUUAAUUUUGGUUAUUGUUGGUUAGGUUUGAUAUGUCCUCUGUGUCUUAUUCUGUUUUCCAGAUUUUCUACAUCAGUCAUUCUCUAUUCCUCUGCUGUUUGCACACAUUCAUAUAAAAGAUGCUCUGAAAUUCCCUUCGGAACGAGUUUGUUCUAAUACUUUUGCUUUGUAAGUAGAUUUUGUUUUGAUUUUCUUUUAUGUCUGCUAAAAGUCUGAGCUCUCUGAUGCAGAAGGGUGGACCUGUGUUUAUUCAGGAUUUCCUUCUUCUCUCUCCCUCGAGUAUAUUUCAGCACUCUGUUUCCAUAGAAUUUGUUAUUCGAUGUUUCAGGUUAGCAGUAACGUCUGCUGUUAUUGGAUCAUCCUGUAUUUCUGCAUCGGGAGUUUUGCUAGUUACGUUUACAGUUUGCCGGGAGAAUUUGGUGCUUCCAUCUGUCGUUGAUUCAUGUUUUAGUUGAUGGAUUUAGUUUUUGAAUUGAACAGAGCUCCUCUUAUGCAGAAAGUUAGACAUGUUGAUAGUCAGGUUUUCGUUCUUCUUUCUUUCUUAGAUCUUCUGCAAUCUUUUGAUUCAUAAUUACUGGAUUUUGAAGUGUGUUUCGCUUACUGAGCCAUGGACUGUGACAGUGGGGAGUUUCUUUUGGCUUUUUGGUGUGUUGAGGAUUCGAAGGAGCCCGACUCCCUUUUGAUUUUUUUGACAUCGAAGGUUGAAUUUGCAGUAGGUUUUUAACCUCUGGUGUCUUUUGCCUUUUUCUGUUUUGAUGACCACUAUAUUUGAUGAAGACGUGAUCAGAUAUCCUCCCCUCCUUAUCUGCUUGUGCUUGUAGUUUGCUGCAUCUUUUCUAUCGUUGAUACUACUCGCUUCUACUUGAGAUGAAGUCAUUAUCGUUGCAUCCGGGUUUGAUUUUGCAAAGUGGUAGUUCUGUUUUGGCCUGCUUGCCUACACUCGUAUCUGUACAUCAUGAAUUUGUGAAGUAGAUUCAGGUCAGAUGUUAUAAGUUCUUUGGCAUGUGAUUAUUGCAUCUCUGUUGAUUUGUGAAUUACUUCUGACUGUUGUAGUUUACUUGGUAUUCAAGAAAAGGGAGAUUCCACCUCCAUACUAAUUGACGGGUUCCCAUCCUUUCUUCCUUGUUUCUGCUUUUACGAGGCUAUUUAUUUUCUCAGAAUUGAUGCUAUUAAUUGUGGUUGCAUAGUCUAUUGCUUCUCUCUGAGCGGAAAUGUGCUACAGAUUUUGAGGAUCCAGUAUAUUUACUUAUGAGUUGGUCUGUUCUCCAGCAAGACAAGGUAAUAUCGAAGGUUCUAUCAGUUUCACUCAUCGGUUUUGUAUAAAAACUUUUUUGUUUUGGUGAAUCUUCUAUUUCGUGGUCUCUGCCGCUGGGGAUUAGAUGUUCAGGAUGGUUGAAGCUCUGUAGGUUGACUUCUCUGAAGGUGUGGAUACCAUACUUGUUCUAUUGAUUCUAAGAUUGAGUUGUACUUUUGAUGAUGAUUCUCAGUUUCGCAGCAAUAUCUGAUUAAUGUCCAAAAAAAUUGCAGAUUUUCAGCUCUUGUUAUUGUACACUACGUGGAUUUUAGGUUUCAUCAGAUACCGGAGUAUUUAUUCUUGUAGUUUAGUCAUAUAACCACUAGUCUGCCAGAAUGAGUUAUUUAGUUAAUUUGUAAGUUCUUCCACAGGACAUCAGAUUUCUUGCCAUUGUCAGAAUCUGGGGGAAUGAAUCUUGUGAUUCUGGGGAACACGUACAAAUAUUAUUGAGGUGUUGUGUUGCUCAUAUGUUCUUUAGUUUGUUAUUUUGAUGUCAUCGUUGAUUUGAUUAUGUCUGUGAUUCUUGCUGGUAGUGUGACCUCAUCAUGGGGUAGGCUCAUAGAAGGUGAAGAGCAUCUUCGUUUUGAUAACGGUCUUUACUUUUGACUGCUGACAUUUGAAUUUGAUAAUGAAGUCCUCAAUUGAUUUUGUUCGGGUGAUACAUAAUGUUGUUGGAUUUCAGGUGAGGCUUAAUUUUAUGGAAUCUUCAUACGAAUGUUCUCAGGUAGUUAGUGAAAAUUGAGAACAUCACCUCCUUACUUCUGGUGAAGAGGUUGAUUACUUGUGUUGUUGAAUUGUUACCUCCGAAUCCUAGUUCCUUUCUUCCUUUGGACGUAUUGGCUUGCAGGUCAAAGCUUUCUGUCUAACACGAUAAUGUACCGCCAUUCUGGUUACUGUUAUUCAGACACUACGAUUGGGGAAGUGAUGCUUACUCAAUUCUCAUCAUCUCUUGAACCUUAAUUUGCUCUGUCACACAUUGAAGCCUAUGUUGGGUUUGCAGUUUGUGAAGUUUUCAUGGGAAGGUCUUUGGUGUAAACUGAAGUUGAUUUUAUUCCUGAAGAAAGAUGUGCUCCCUAUAUGUUAAGAAAACGCAACGUAUUGAUGCAAACUUUUUUAUCUUCUGAAUUAUGACGUGUUGCCAUACCAACUGUUUGGUAAAGUAAUUGUGAGAGAUGUUUUCCUGUAUGUGAGUGAUAUGUUUUGCUGGAAGGGACUAUACAAGAAGACACAACUCCGGGAGGCUUACAAGCUUAUACGUAGAAUGAAGUUAAAAGAUCUCAGGCCUUUAUCUUGUGGUGUGGAUUGGAUUUGCUCAUAGCUCAUUCAAAGAAUGGAGUAUGCUAUUAGGUUAAAGCUAGUGUGCUUACCACAGAAUUGCCUACAUCAGUUAUGGGACCUUUGGUGUGGCCGCUUUGGCUUGCCUCUACAAUUGCGAAAAUGAUGAGUUCUCAUUGCUCGGAACUUGAGAGGAUCCUCAUUUUGAUGCGGUUGUUAUUACACAUUGAAGCCCACGCUGGUGUUGCAGUUUCUGAAAUUUUCAUGGGAAGCACUGUGAUUGGAGUAGACUGAAAUUUAGUUAUGUGCUUUUGUAUAUUAUAUAUUCUCCGAGGGAACUGAAGUCUUGUUCCAAAAGUCUUGGAUGUAUAAGAUUCUGUUUUGGAAGUGUUAAAAGAUCAAAUUCCGUUCGCUUGUUGCUUCUGUUAUUAUUGAGACAGUUACGUUAUUUACCUUCUGAGCAGUUGAGCUCUUGCAAAUCAGGUUAAUUAAAUUUCAACGGUCCAUAAACUAAUCGUGUCGGUCAAAAGUCAAUGUCCGUGUGGUGUCCGUAUCUGAAAUCUGACUUUAUUAAUAAGUUACAGUACUACUUAAGGAGUGUCGUGACGUUCAACUUCGAUGUGGAGCUGCCAGGGAUGAUGAUGAUGACGAAGAUUAUCAUCUGCUAUCUGAUGUUGAGAUGGAUAAGGAAUCUGAAGCUGAUAAAAUCAUUUCAGAGCAUCUUGUUAUUCUGCAGUCUGAAACUAUUCAGGAGCUUACAAAAACAUCACAAGCUUUAGCAGCCCUUCAAGAGGAGGCAUCUGAACUACGUAAACUAGCUGAUGCACGCGGAAUUGAAAUUUCUGAACUUAAUGCCAAGUGGAGUGAACAGAAAUUGAUGCUAGAGCAGCAAAAGAAUCUGGCUG